rfam:Amphimedon queenslandica AMPQTscaffold_7731_Cont20320, whole genome shotgun sequence.
UAAUCGGCUUUUUUCAAAGCCACCAUAAUUAUAAUAAAAGAUCUCU